rnacentral:rRNA from 3 species
GACGACCUCAGAUCAGGCG